rnacentral:lncRNA from 1 species
CUGUCCAUCUCCAGAAUGCUGGCUUCAGCAGCAACCAGAAACAGUGUUCCCCCAAGCCUCCUCCCACAGCCCUGCCACAGUUGGAAGGCCUGCUCUUCUGUGAUGGAUGCUCCCCAUUCUCCAUGCUGCCUCACCUCUGUGCACAGUUCAACAAGCACAGUCAGGCCACUAGCCUCGGGAUUACAUUAAGGAAAGGAUUUAUUUAUUUUUAACAUGUACCUACUCAUUUUCAAGGAAGUGGCCUUUGAAGAGGACAAAUGAAGCUGAUAAUCUGAAUCCAGAGAGCUCAUUCAGAAGUCUUUUUGCACUACCUUCUGCCAGCCUCCAGGACCGUACACAUGAGUGACAGCCUCUAUCUAGUGUUUGAGUGUAUGAACCUUUAAUCCAUCAAGACGCUUCUAAAAUUGAGAGGGUACCUCCACCACGUGCUCGCACCUUCCUGUACAAACCCCCUCAUCUUGGGACCCAUGGAAAUGCCACCACACUGGAAGCCAGCUGAAUAUAUUUUUCUAAUCUCAUCCAGACUUUAUGGCUAUAAUUUGGCUGCUGACACAAUUUUAAAUUAGCUUUUGCUUCAAUGAA